rnacentral:rRNA from 1 species
AGUGAACGCUGGCGGUAGGCCUAACACAUGCAAGUCGAACGGCAGCACAGUAAGAGCUUGCUCUUACGGGUGGCGAGUGGCGGACGGGUGAGGAAUACAUCGGAAUCUACUUUUUCGUGGGGGAUAACGUAGGGAAACUUACGCUAAUACCGCAUACGACCUACGGGUGAAAGCAGGGGAUCUUCGGACCUUGCGCGAUUGAAUGAGCCGAUGUCGGAUUAGCUGGUUGGCGGGGUAAGGGCCCACCAAGGCGACGAUCCGUAGCUGGUCUGAGAGGAUGAUCAGCCACACUGGAACUGAGACACGGUCCAGACUCCUACGGGAGGCAGCAGUGGGGAAUAUUGGACAAAGGGCGCAAGCCUGAUCCAGCCAUACCGCGUGGGUGAAGAAGGCCUUCGGGUUGUAAAGCCCUUUUGUUGGGAAAGAAAAGCAGCAGGUUAAUACCCCGCUGUUCUGACGGUACCCAAAGAAUAAGCACCGGCUAACUUCGUG